GGCAGCUAUCAAAAAGGAACUGAGAAUUAAAAGCCAACUCCAGACCACUGCUUGCUUGUCCUGAUUUGUGAGGGAUUGAUGGAGAGUUGGUAAGGAGAGGAAUCAGAACAGGAGCGCCUCCCUCUGCCCCCAAACACAUAAUCAGUUUUUGUAUGCAGUGCCAGUUCUGCUUUUUUGUCUGUUCAAGCCAAGAAGUACUCUUAAGGCAUCACCAGCUACGACAUAGAAGAGGAUUUCAUUUGCCCUGUGUUUACAGUGACUGCGUCUGUUCGUUUAGGACACGAGGGGCAUUGAAGUCUCACCUCAGCAGAUCACAUAACAGGGCUAAGAAAAGGCAGGAGAUCUCAACAUUUUUUUGUGAUUUUUGUGAAUUUAAGGAAAACUGUUCACAGCAUACAUUUAUUUCACAUAUUUUAAGGCACUUAAAAAAACA